rnacentral:misc_RNA from 1 species
AUAUUAAAAUGAUAGUGUUGCUAAACCUUAAAAUAAAUGUUUUGAUAAUUGAUCCAUAUUUUUAAUACUCUAACAAGUGUUUCAGUGUAUUAAUCUUUGAAGUGAUAAAGAAGUUUGUGUGAAAAGCAUUUUUUGAAAGUAUAAUUAUAUUUUUUAUAUAACUUAAAAGUUAUUUGUCGAUUAGCAUAUUAAUGUAAAUAAUAUCAAGGUUAAAUAAGUUCAAUACAAAAACUGAACCAUAUUAAUAUUGUGUUAAACAAAAAAAAAAGUGUACUAUAAACUUCUCUCUAGACGUUUUUUACUCGGUGUGUAUUGUGUACAAAAUACGAACUUGUGGACUAAUUUAGCUAGAUAAAAAUUUGUGUUGUGUGUAAAGCUUCGUUUUUAUGUUUAAUUACGUAAAACAUUUAAGGUUAGUAAAAAUCAUUGAAAAAAUACAUUACAAUUCUUUACUAUUUUUUAAAUAAUUUUAUAUUUCAAUAAUCUGUUUUUUUUUUUCAGAUGGCUUUUAUGUAUUAUUUUAUUUUUAUUAACUCAUCCAAGUUUUAUUUUUAAAUAAUUCAUCCAAUAAAUAAUUUGAUAUAUUGAAUAUCGUGGUACCGGAUGUAAAUAGCCUGAAUCAUUGUUAAAAAGUACUAAGUAUUGUAAAUUAUUACAAACGAUAGUUAAACAUUGUGAAGGGUCUGCCUGACAUGGCCAACGUUUUAUGUUCAAAUAAGUGGCACAGCAGAAACAAUGGAAGAGGCAGAGGAAAAAUUAAUAAGAUUAAAAAGAACCCCUAUUCUUCUCUACCAAUAAUGAGUAGUCUGCUAAAGCAAAAGAUUGAUUAAAAAUAGAUAAUAUAUUUAGCCAAAUAGCUUUAGAGUUAACUGACGAACCCACUGAAAUUGCAGAACCUAAGAAAUAAAAGCCAAAAAAAUGUAACCAAAAAAUAGUGAAGAAACAAGCCUAAAAACAUAGUCUCGAAUGGUCAUCUACAUCAAUAGCGUCUUCGAUAUCUUCAUCACCACCGUCAUCAUUAUGUAAACCUAUAGAAAUAAAUAAUGAAACAAAAUAAAACGAAUUAAUGACAGUACUAACUAUAUUGUUGACUCAAAAAAAAGGAAAAAAUUAGUUCAUAAUCUACACCAUACCACCUUGAUCAUCUUCAUCAUCACCAUCAACUAAAAGUAGAAAAAUAAGAAAAAUCCACUCGAAUUUGAAGGACAUAAAUAUGCGUAUGGAAAUAGCACAUGAAGACAGUACAUUAGCAACAAUUGCUGAUAAUCCCUUAUCAUCAUCAUAAAUUUGAAACAGAAGCUGAAAUGAAUAUAUUAGCAGCUAGAUCAUCAUCAACAAAAAAUACUGUAUCCAGUGAUUCUUAGCUGGAAUGUAUCAAACAUAAUUAUAACAGUCUAUCAAAACAAUUAGCGAAUUUAAAAGGCCAUAUCUGCUGAUGUUCCCAAAUCCUGUCUGAAAUAAAAAAAUAACAGUACUCAGCUGUUAGAUUUCAGUUUAUUAACAGAUCCUGAAGGAAAUCCAGUGGUCCAAAAAUUAGAAUUUCCGCUAUCAACAAUGGAAGAUAUUAUUUUGAUAAAUUCAAUGAAAAAUUGAAAGGCGAAAAAUAUAAAAAUAAAAUGGUAAGUUUUUAAUAAACUAUAUUCUUAUAUACAAAUAUAUGAAAGAUCUAAUAUAGUUGCUCUAUCUGACAAUAUUGAAAUUGUCAUAUUUGAUAAAAUGCUAAUCAUAAUAAUUAAUUAAUCAUACAAAUAAUUAUAAUAAAUUUUCUUUUCCAGAAUAAACGUAUAUACUUUUCUCUUGAUGGAAAAUAUACUUUUACCCGUAAUAUGGGAAAUAUUACUCGUGUUUAUAUAACAAGAGAUGUCAUAUGUAGCAGUUAAAGCAACUCCAAAAAAAAGUUUUCAAAGAUACAACUUUUUCACUUCUAUAAAAACUGCAGUAAGACAGAAAUUCGAAAAGAAUCAAGAAAGUAUUUUCGAUAAUAAAUUCCAUCAAGCAUUGUCUGCAGUAUUGAAUAAUGCUAAUAAAAUAAUAAAGAUUGGGAUGGGUACAGGGUAUCCAGGAUCAAAAAACUACCAUCUAAUGAAGAUAAAUAAAAACAACUAAUCGCUUUUAAUUUAUUUACUUUUUUAAAAUCUUUUUUUUUUUUUUGCUGUGUAAAAUAUUUUGCCAAGCAAACAAAAAGAAAAAUUAAUUCAUAAUGUUUAAUAACAAUCAUUAUUAUUAUUAACUAUAACAUAAAAAUAAUUGAUAUUUAAAGUAAAAACAAAAAUAAAUAAUACAUUUGAAAAAAUAAAUGGAAAUAAAUAUGUUUUUUUUUUCAAUCGGAUAAGUUUUAUUUCUGUUUAAGUGCACAAUAAAGUGUAUUGUUAUGUUAUGUUAAGUUAUAUAUAUAUAAUAUGUUAUUUUAAAUAUACAUAGUAUGUUAAGUAACAUAGUAAUAUCAUUUCUUUUUUUUUUUUUUUUUGACGUGACGUCUAAUAAAUCGAUUAACGCCGGCUUCGUUACGCUCAUCUGAUCUAUCUGAUCGGCCUAUGCAUCCGAGGAGAUGUUUUGUUAUGACGGUUGUCACGUUUAACUAUCCUCUGUAAACCAACUUUGCAGACAACCAAGUUUUUUAAUAAACAAUUUUGUCAAGACUACAUUCGUGUUUUAUUUAAAAGGACCGCGCUGGGCAUACUCGAUUUGGAUCAAGCAACCAAGGACCGGACCGUGUAUGCCUGAUCAGGACUAGAUAGGGCAUGUAACGCAAAUGAUGUAUCCGGACCUGACCAGGGAAACCUGAUCAGGUCCAGAUCAGGUAUGACCUGAGAUCAGGAAAACCUGAUCAGGUCCAGAUCAGGUUGUCCUGAUCAGGUCCAGAUACAUCAUCUGCGUUACAUGCCUUAUCUAGUCCUGAUCAGGCAUGCACGGUCCGGUCCUGACUAGGAAGACGAAAAAAUUUCUACUCGGGUAUG